rnacentral:rRNA from 1 species
UUGGCUCAGAAGCAGCCAUCCUUUAAAGAGUGCGUAAUAGCUCACUAGUCGAGUGUCUCUGCGCCGAAAAUGUACCGGGGCUAAAACAUAUUACCGAAGUUAUGAAUUUAUAUUUAAUAUAGAUGGUAGGGGAGCGUUCUAAGGGCGCUGAAGGUAGACCGUGAGGACUACUGGAGCGCUUAGAAGUGAGAAUGCCGGUGUGAGUAACGCUAGGAGGGUGAGAAUCCCUCCCACCAAUUGACUAAGGGUUCCAGGGUACGGUUCGUCUUCCCUGGGUUAGUCAGGACCUAAGCCGAGGCCGAAAGGCGUAGGCGAUGGACAACAGGUUUAUAUUCCUGUACUGGCUAUAUGACUGAUGGAGCGACGGAGAAAGCAAGUAAGAGCCUAUUAUUGGAUUUAGGUCUAAGCACAAAGAGUGAUGCGUAAGUAAAUCUGCGACAUUAUUAAACUUGAAGUGCGAUGGCGAAGGGUCCCACGGGAACCAAAGUCUUAUGCAGCUAUGCUUCCAAGAAAAACUUCUAAAGAUAUCAUAUAGUUACCUGUACCAAGUACCGACACAGGUGGUCAAGGAGAGUAUCCUAAGGUGAGCGAGAUAACCAUGGGUUAAGGAACUCGGCAAAAUUGCCCUGUAACUUCGGGAUAAAGGGAGGUCUCUUCGGAGACCCACAGAAAAAAGGCCCAAGCAACUGUUUACCAAAAACACAGGUCUCUGCUAAAGCGAAAGCUGAUGUAUAGGGGCUGACGCCUGCCCAGUGCUGGAAGGUUAAGAGGAUAGGUUAGAUGGACGCAAGUCGAUAACAUCAAAGCCUUGAAUUGAAGCCCCAGUGAACGGCGGCCGUAACUAUAACGGUCCUAAGGUAGCGAAAUUCCUUGUCAGGUAAGUUCUGACCCGCACGAAAGGCGUAAUGAUUUGGGCGCUGUCUCAACCAUGGACUCGGUGAAAUCUUAAUACCUGUGAAAAUGCAGGUUACCCGCGACAGGACGGAAAGACCCCAUGGAGCUUUACUGUAGCUUGAUAUUGUGAUCAGGUAAUGUAUGUAGAGGAUAGGUGGUAGACUAUGAAGUAUGGACGCUAGUUCAUGCAGAGUCGCCCUUGGAAUACCACCCUUACGUUGCUUGAUUACUAACUUAUUCCCGUGAUCCGGGAAGAGGACAGUGUCUGGUGGGCAGUUUGACUGGGGCGGUCGCCUCCCAAAAAGUAACGGAGGCGCCCAAAGGUUCCCUCAGAUUGGUCGGAAAUCAAUCGAAGAGUGUAUUGGUAUAAGGGAGCUUAACUGUGAGACUUACAAGUCGAGCAGAUGCGAAAGCAGGGCAAAGUGAUCAGGCGGUAGAGAAUGGAAUUGCCGUCGCUUAACGGAUAAAAGUUACCCUGGGGAUAACAGGCUGAUACCACCCAAUAGUUCACAUAGACGGUGGUGAUUGGCACCUCGAUGUCGGCUCGUCACAUCCUGGAG